AUGUUGGGGGUCGUGCUCUCGCGGCUGCCGUCGCACGCCGACCGCGUCCGCCUCGCCGCCGUCUGCCGCCCAUGGCGCUCCAGCGCGCGGCUGCUGCGUCCGCUACCCACGCUGCUCCCGUGGCUCGCCCUCUGCGAUGGCACCUUCCUCAGCCUCCCCGACGGCGCCGUGCACCGCCUGCCCGUCGCGGACGACGCCUCGAGCCGAGUCUCCACCGGCAGCGCGCUCUUCCUCGUGCACGGCGACAACAAGUGCUGCCUGAUGAACCCUUCUCCGGUAAUGACGACCCCUGUCCCUGAGGCCGGCGACUGGUUCCGAGAAAACCCGACCGUCCGGAAGGUGUUAAUGUCCGAUCACCUCGUCGCCGCCCUGGUGGACUCCAAAAAGCUCAGCAUCAACAGCUCCACGACCACGAAAGUCAUCAUCUCCAUACGUGGGCAGCCAUGGGACACCACGAGUUGCUCCACGACGGAGUGGACGGCGCCUGAAGACAGCUUCGUCAGCGACAUCGCGCUCUUCAAAGGAAAGCUCUACGUCCUCCUCGACACACAAGACGAGGAAUACGGACAGCAGCAUGAGCUCCGUGUCCUGGACGACGGCCGCGAGCAGACAGCCAUCCCCGGUACCCGAUUCCACGGGCACGAAUCGUUUAAUGCUUACGCGACGGACAUGUACGUGCAGCGGAACUAUCUCGUCGUCUCCGGCGACCGGCUGCUGAUGGUGGAACGAAGGAUCUACCAGCCGCCGAUGUUCCCGGUAGACUCAGGGAUUGAGAAGCGGACUCGUCUCUUCAAGGUCUUCGCGGCAACGGAGCUGAGCAGCGGAUGUGGACUCUGGACCGAGGUCGAUACGUUGAUGGGGCGCGCGCUUUUUGUCAGCGAAGGCUGCUCGCAGUCUCUCUCCGCCGGGGAUCAAUCUAGCGGUGUCGGAGCUCGAGAAGAUUGCAUCUACUUUGUAAACGAGGAUCACACAGAUACAGACAUCUCUGAAUCCGAAGAGGAAAUCUGUGAGAACCCCUUUCUAGACUCUGGCGUGUAUAACAUGGCAGAUCAGACAGUGACGCCGUUGCCGUCGAAGGCUGUGGCGGCGCCCGCUGCCGGCGACGGACCAUGCACAUGGUCGAGGCUGAAGAAAUCAUCUUCUGUGUGGUACGGGAAUAUGAUAUUGAGUCCAAAACUACAAGCUGCAAAUCUGCACAAGGAGGGUGUAGAUCUUGUGCAACAAGCAGACCCACAAAAGCAAGAUAAAGCAUGUGAAGACUAUGGCUUAGACAGAGCAUCUUCUCCGACAUGGAAGGCAUCGAUGCAAAUUGCGCAUGUUGAAUACGAGCCAUCAAGAACGAUUUUAGUGCCCUAUGUAGGAUAUGAAGUGGAGGCGGGCCAGUUGCAAGCCCAACAACAACCCCGCAACUGUAAGUGCCGCACCCGACAACAACUGCAUAUCCCUGAACAUGGUUGCAACCAGACUUUCUUUUGUCGGAGGAGGCGGCGGAAGAGGGGGCAGACUAGUUGCAUGUCCGACUCUAGGCAUGCAAUUGCAACUUUUGUUUUGUCGGAGGGGGCGGCGGGAGAGAGGGCGGACCAGUUUAACUGCAAGUGUCACCCUCGACCACAACUGCAUGUCUUCUUACCCGACCACAAUUGGACUCUUUUUCUGUCGAAGGGGGCGCCGGUAGAGAGGGUGGGCCAGUUGCAAGCCCGACAACAGCCCCGCAACUGCAAGUGCCGCACCCGACCGCAACUGCAUGUCCCCCAACAUGCUUGCAACUGGACUAUUGUUUUGUCGGAGGGGGCGAAGGGAGAGGGGUAA
rnacentral:rRNA from 1 species